AAUAGAUACCCAGGUAGUCCACGCUGUAAACGUUGGGCGCUAGGUGUGGGGGGGCCUCUCCGGUUCUCUGUGCCGCAGCUAACGCAUUAAGCGCCCCGCCUGGGGAGUACGGCCGCAAGGCUAAAACUCAAAGGAAUUGACGGGGGGCCCGCACAAGCGGCGGAGCAUGCGGAUUAAUUCGAUGCAACGCGAAGAACCUUACCUGGGUUUGACAUGGCCGCAAAACCGGCAGAGAUGUCGGGUCCUUCGGGGGCGGUCACAGGUGGUGCAUGGCUGUCGUCAGCUCGUGUCGUGAGAUGUUGGGUUAAGUCCCGCAACGAGCGCAACCCUCGUUCGAUGUUGCCAGCGCGUUAUGGCGGGGACUCAUCGAAGACUGCCGGGGUCAACUCGGAGGAAGGUGGGGAUGACGUCAAGUCAUCAUGCCCCUUAUGUCCAGGGCUUCACGCAUGCUACAAUGGCCGGUACAAUGGGCUGCGAUACCGUGAGGUGGAGCGAAUCCCAAAAAGCCGGUCUCGAGUUCGGAUCGGGGUCUGCAACGUCCG
rnacentral:rRNA from 1 species